rnacentral:rRNA from 1 species
GACGAACGCUGGCGGCGUGCCUAAUACAUGCAAGUAGAACGCAGUUGCGAACGGGUGAGUAACGCGUAGGUAACUGCCUCAUAGCGGGGGAUAACUUUUGGAAAAGAUAGCUAAUACCGCAUACUGUGAGAUGGACCUGCGUUGUUUUAGCUAGUUGGUGAGGUAAAGGCUCACCAAGGCGACGAUACAGAGCCGAGCUGAGAGGGAGGACGGGCAAAAUGGGACUGGGGAACGGGCCAGGCUCCGUAGGGAGGGAACAGGAGGGGAACUUCGGAAAUGGACGGAAAUCUGACCGAGCAAAGCCGGGGGAGUGAAGGAGGGUUUCGGGGCGUAAAACUAUGUUGUGAGAGGAGCGGUAUCUAAACAGAAAGGGACGGCUAACUACGUGCCAGCAGCCGCGGUAAUUC